rnacentral:rRNA from 1 species
UACGUAGGGGGCAAGCGUUGUCCGGAUUUAUUGGGCGUAAAGAGCUCGUAGGCGGUUUGUUGCGUCGGCUGUGAAAUCCCGAGGCUCAACCUCGGGUCUGCAGUCGAUACGAGCAAACUAGAGUGUUGCAGGGGAGACUGGAAUUCCUGGUGUAGCGGUGAAAUGCGUAGAUAUCGAGAGGGAACACCUGGCGGCGAAGGCGGGUUGCUGGGCUGACACAUGACGCUGGAGGCGACGGAAAGCUAGGGGAGCGAACGGG